AGAGUUUGAUCAUGGCUCAGGAUGAACGCUGGCGGCGUGCUUAACACAUGCAAGUCGAACGAACCUUCGGGUUAGUGGCGGACGGGUGAGUAACGCGUGAGAAUCUGCCCUCAGGAGGGGGAUAACGGUUGGAAACGACCGCUAAUACCCCAUAUGCCUAUUGGUGAAAUGAAUUUCGCCUGAGGAUGAGCUCGCGUCUGAUUAGCUAGUUGGUGAGGUAAUGGCUCACCAAGGCUUCGAUCAGUAGCUGGUCUGAGAGGAUGAUCAGCCACACUGGGACUGAGACACGGCCCAGACUCCUACGGGAGGCAGCAGUGGGGAAUUUUCCGCAAUGGGCGAAAGCCUGACGGAGCAACGCCGCGUGAGGGACGAAGGCCUCUGGGCUGUAAACCUCUUUUCUCAAGGAAGAAGAUAUGACGGUACUUGAGGAAUAAGCCACGGCUAAUUCCGUGCCAGCAGCCGCGGUAAUACGGGAGUGGCAAGCGUUAUCCGGAAUUAUUGGGCGUAAAGCGUCCGCAGGCGGCUUUUCAAGUCUGCUGUUAAAACGUGGAGCUUAACUCCAUCAUGGCAGUGGAAACUGAAAGGCUUGAGUAUGGUAGGGGCAGAGGGAAUUCCCGGUGUAGCGGUGAAAUGCGUAGAUAUCGGGAAGAACACCAGUGGCGAAGGCGCUCUGCUGGGCCAUUACUGACGCUCAUGGACGAAAGCCAGGGGAGCGAAAGGGAUUAGAUACCCCUGUAGUCCUGGCCGUAAACGAUGAACACUAGGUGUCGGGGGAAUCGACCCCUUCGGUGUCGUAGCUAACGCGUUAAGUGUUCCGCCUGGGGAGUACGCACGCAAGUGUGAAACUCAAAGGAAUUGACGGGGGCCCGCACAAGCGGUGGAGUAUGUGGUUUAAUUCGAUGAUACGCGAAGAACCUUACCGGCCCUUGACAUACCAAUCGCGGACUUAAGAGAUUAAGUCUUUCACUUCGGGUGGAUUGGAUACAGGUGCUGCAUGGCUGUCGUCAGCUCGUGUCGUGAGAUGUUGGGUUAAGUCCCGCAACGAGCGCAACCCUUACCUUCAAUUGCCAGCACAUUAUGGUGGGAACUUUGAAGGAACUGCCGGUGAUAAGCCGGAGGAAGGUGGGGAUGACGUCAAGUCCUCAUGGCCCUUACGGGCCGGGCUACACACGUGAUACAAUGGUAACUACAAAGGGCAGCGAAGGAGCGAUCUGGAGCAAAUCUCAAAAAGUUACCUCAGUUCGGAUUGCACUCUGCAACUCGAGUGCAUGAAGUUGGAAUCGCUAGUAAUCGUAGAUCAGCGCGCUACGGUGAAUACGUUCCCGGGUCUUGUACACACCGCCCGUCACACCAUGGGAGUUGGUUUUACCUGAAGCUGGUUCGCUAACCGUAAGGAGGCAGCCAACCACGGUAAGAUUAGCGACUGGGGUGAAGUCAUAACAAGGUAACCGUA
rnacentral:rRNA from 1 species